rnacentral:rRNA from 1 species
AGCCAGACUCCUACGGGAGGCAGCAGUGGGGAAUAUUGCACAAUGGGGGAAACCCUGAUGCAGCGACGCCGCGUGAGCGAUGAAGUAUUUCGGUAUGUAAAGCUCUAUCAGCAGGGAAGAAGAUGACGGUACCUGACUAAGAAGCCCCGGCUAACUACGUGCCAGCAGCCGCGGUAAUACGUAGGGGGCAAGCGUUAUCCGGAUUUACUGGGUGUAAAGGGAGCGUAGACGGCGAUGCAAGCCAGAUGUGAAAGCCCGGGGCUCAACCCCGGGACUGCAUUUGGAACUGUGUGGCUGGAGUGUCGGAGAGGCAGGCGGAAUUCCUAGUGUAGCGGUGAAAUGCGUAGAUAUUAGGAGGAACACCAGUGGCGAAGGCGGCCUGCUGGACGAUGACUGACGUUGAGGCUCGAAAGCGUGGGGAGCAAACAGGAUUAAAUACCCGAGUA